rnacentral:rRNA from 1 species
GGCAGGCCUAACACAUGCAAGUCGGACGGAAACGACAAGAACAAUCACUUCGGUGUGCGUUUUUGGGCGUCGAGUGGCGGACGGGUGAGUAACGCGUGGGAAUCUACCCUUUAGUUGGGGACAACAUAUGGAAACGUAUGCUAAUACCGAAUAUGCUCUACGGAGUAAAGGUGCCCUCUCCUUGGAAGGUAUCGCUAAAGGAUGAGCCCGCGUUAGAUUAGCUAGUUGGUAAGGUAAAGGCUUACCAAGGCGACGAUCUAUAGCUGGUUUGAGGGGAUGAUCAGCCACACUGGGACUGAGACACGGCCCAGACUCCUACGGGAGGCAGCAGUGGGGAAUAUUGCACAAUGAGGGAAACCUUGAUGCAGCCAUGCCGCGUGUGUGAAGAAGGCCCGAGGGUUGUAAAGCACUUUCAAUUGUGAGGAAGAUUAAGUAGCUAAUACCUGCUUAGUUUGACGUUAACUUUAGAAGAAGCACCGGCUAACUCUGUGCCAGCAGCCGCGGUAAUACAGAGGGUGCAAGCGUUAUUCGGAAUUACUGGGCGUAAAGCGCGCGUAGGCGGACUGUUAAGUCGGUUGUGAAAGCCCUGGGCUCAACCUAGGAACUGCAUCCGAUACUGGCAAUCUAGAGUUUAAGAGAGGGAAGUGGAAUUCCAGGUGUAGCAGUGAAAUGCGUAGAUAUCUGGAGGAACAUCAGUGGCGAAGGCGACUUCCUGGCUUAAAACUGACGCUGAGGUGCGAAAGCUUGGGUAGCGAACGGGAUUAGAUACCCCGGUAGUCCAAGCCGUAAACGAUGUCAACUAGCUGUCGGCCUUAUUAAAAAGGUUAGUAGCGUAGCUAACGCGAUAAGUUGACCGCCUGGGG